UAGAAUAAUUUUACAGAAAGAAAAAUAAAAAAAAAUGUGAAUAUAAAAAAUAAGAUAAAAAAUUCAAUUACUAUUAACUUUUUAAACCAUGACCUGAGUUAUAAGACCGAAAGCACUGUAUAUGAAAAAUUCAUGAGGGUUAAAAUCAUAUAAAAACAACACAAAAUAAAAAAAAUACAAUAAAAAUAAAUAAUGUUAAAAUUGCAAUAAAAAUAAAUCAAAAGGCAACAACAAAUUUUAAACUUGAGAGUUAAAUUGAAAAGAAAAAAAACAUUAAAAAAAGAGUAAAAAUCAAAAGAACAAA
rnacentral:lncRNA from 1 species